rnacentral:ncRNA from 1 species
UUCAGAUUGAGGUCUGCAAUUCGACCUCAUGAAGUCGGAAUCGCUAGUAAUCGCAGGUCAGCUAUACUGCGGUGAAUACGUUCUCGAGUCUUGUACUCAAAAUUAAAAGCGCCCGGCAGCUUAUAUUUCUAGGCCGUUAAAAUCGGUCCCUCCGAUUAAAAUCGGAGCGUAGCAAACGGAUAA